AGGGAAACCGAGUCUUAACUGGGCGUUAAGUUGCAGGGUAUAGACCCGAAACCCGGUGAUCUAGCCAUGGGCAGGUUGAAGGUUGGGUAACACUAACUGGAGGACCGAACCGACUAAUGUUGAAAAAUUAGCGGAUGACUUGUGGCUGGGGGUGAAAGGCCAAUCAAACCGGGAGAUAGCUGGUUCUCCCCGAAAGCUAUUUAGGUAGCGCCUCGUGAACUCAUCUUCGGGGGUAGAGCACUGUUUCGGCUAGGGGGUCAUCCCGACUUACCAACCCGAUGCAAACUGCGAAUACCGAAGAAUGUUAUCACGGGAGACACACGGCGGGUGCUAACGUCCGUCGUGAAGAGGGAAACAACCCAGACCGCCAGCUAAGGUCCCAAAGUCACAGUUAAGUGGGAAACGAUGUGGGAAGGCUCAGACAGCCAGGAUGUUGGCUUAGAAGCAGCCAUCAUUUAAAGAAAGCGUAAUAGCUCACUGGUCGAGUCGGCCUGCGCGGAAGAUGUAACGGGGCUAAACUGUGCACCGAAGCUGCGGCAGCGACGCUUAUGCGUUGUUGGGUAGGGGAGCGUUCUGUAAGCCUGCGAAGGUGUCCUGUGAGGGAUGCUGGAGGUAUCAGAAGUGCGAAUGCUGACAUAAGUAACGAUAAUG
rnacentral:rRNA from 1 species